GGCGGCAGCGGGCGGCAGGCGCGGGCCGGAGCGGGCCGAGGGGCGGCGAGGGCGAGACCGGGAGCAGGACGAACGCCUCUGCGACGUCACGCGCAGACGCCCCUACGUCACCACGCCGCGACGCGAGAGAAGCCCGCCCCCCUUCGCCCUUCCGCGUCGCAGCCCCGCCCCCUCGGCCCACUUCGGGCGCCUGACCCAGUUCCCGCGCGGGGCUGUGGGAGGCGCUGUGGGCGGGGGAGCUCGCGCUGCUGCUCGCGACGGCCGCGCGCCGUAGGCGGGAAGAGGCUGUGAGGGACGACCGGGCGGGCUGCGCCCCUCCGGGCAACCGGCGCUCUGGAGCGUUCCGUGUGGAAGCCGUCACUUAGCUUUCCUCGUGUCGUUCCGAAACCCGACGUUGUAGUGCCUGUGCACCCGCCUCUCCACAGGUUACUGUGCCUUGCUCCUGAAGCACGUCUCUGAGGGCACCUCGUGCUGUCAGACCUCAAACACCAACCGAUUUUUCUUCAGGGUGUAUUACUGAGGCUUCAGUUGUUAUAAAUAACACGGGUACCCAUCUGCUCUGUAUUUUUCGUGUUCUGCUCUGCUUAUGAGAUCUUAAAAAAGCACUAGUUGCUAUGCUAGGCCUGAAGUGGUGCAGAGAAGUGAGUUGUGCUGGAGUGGUGCUGAGGCCACGGCAAGGCACUGCUUUCAGAUGACAUAAAAAUCCUACUUGUGCCUAAUUAGAGCCUCAGCCCUUGAACCUGGUCAGGAGGGUGGCCUCUCCAGCCUUUCCUCACAUACUGUACUCAUGGACAUCAGCCCCUCUUCACUCAGCGACUGCUGGAAGGCUCUGGAACCUGGGGCAGGUGCUUGGCAGAGGGAAGUGGAGUAGGAUGGGGCCAGUUCUCUGCAGUGCCCUCCGCAGCCAAGCAGCCAUGCCUGGAGCGUGUCUGGGAUGAGUAUGCAACAAUCCCUGUGCUAUUCAAUACACAAUGAACAUCUGAGCUAAUAAGGAUGAAACUUAACAAGGGCAGAAGAUGAAAUGCUUGUUCAGAUUUCUAUGCUCCUGUGAAUUCAAGCUGAUAUUACAACAUCCAGUUCAUUAAAAAGACCUUUUGGAUGAGUUGCAGAAAGUUCACUGAAGAAGAGACAAGAAAUGUUUUGCAUCAUGCCCCCCAAAAAUAUGAAGGCAACAGUAUUUCAAUGAUCUUGACAAUCAAGUGUUCAUCAACAUCUGUCGAACAUCUGCUUUCUAAACCUUCCCUUCAUUUGGUAAUUAAGCUAAUAAUACCUCCAAAAACCUCUAUCUUUUUUCAGAAUUUAAACUGAUGUCCUAAAAUAGGCUUGAAGAAAAGGCUGGUUUCCUUUGAAGCAGUUUUUUUUUUUUUUUUAAUUUUCAAACCAUAUUUAAAGUUCAGCAAUUCAGCUCUGCAAAAAUAACUUUGAUUCCUGAGUUCCCCUUUUAGGCCUUUCACUAUGGAUAUUGUAAUUUGCUAAUUGAAAGUUCCACAGGUGGUUUGUAGGGUCUCUGGAGAUGAUUAAAAGAUGUGAAAUAGAAUUAACACAUCUACAUGUAGCUAAUCUGCAGAACCAUCAAAACCAAGUACAUUUCUUUCCCUUUCCUCCUUUUCCUUCCUUGUACCCACGUACCUGAUUUUAGCCCAGAAGUUGCUACCUGCUACCCCAUGCCUGAAUUUGUCCCACAGUGUUUUGCCUGGCCUUUAUGACCGCCCUGACCAAGACUUGGCACAUUUCAUAGGCUGGGCAUCCAGUUGUAUUACACAAGUUUUUCUUGUACCUGACAUAACCCAGCCACUGCGAUGCUGCAUAAUAAAUCUCACUGCAGAAUCAAUCAAUGGAGACAACUGGAGAAAGAUAGUAGUCUCAAACAUGCACAACUUGGCCAGUCAAUAUUUGGAUCACACAUUCUUCUAGUCAGUAACUGUUAUGUAUGUGAACAAUUGUCAGCACAAUUAGACCCCAGCUUAUUUAAAUCUAAAUAGUAUUGCAAAGGCAUAGUUACACUUACUGUUACUUUCCGAGGACAGUCAUUAGAACAGAGGCCACUGAGAACUGCAAGAACAAAAAGUUCACAGUAUUUAUAUUAACAAGCCAUCUUACAAGCACAACCUCAAAAACCUAUUAAAAUAUACUAAUAUAUGUCACGUAUCCAUUAAGAUAGAUAUGAUCUGUUUUCUUUAUGUGUUAUGACUUAUGCACUAAAAUAAUUCCGAUUUGCUUGAAGUAUAUUACUUGGCAGAAAUUAAUCAGCUAAUCACUGUUUUCUUAUACCUGACUGGUUAGUUUGCUUCCAAAGGAAACAUUUGUCAGUUGAAAAAAAUCCAAAUUAAAACAUGUUAAAAUGUAGUGGACUGUACAUUUUACUCAUUACCCUUUACUUCUAACCAUUUAAAAUAUCCUUGUCAGAAAUUCAGCUUCACUUUUUUAACUGGAAAAGAGGAAAGUAAAGGCCUUUCCCUACAUACAGAUGAUAGCUUUAAAACUUGAUUCAAAACAACUCCCAUUACCUGUUUAUUCUGUGUUAUUCUAAAGUAUUAUAAGCAGAUGUGCAUAAUGCUUCUUAAUAUCUAAAGCAUAUGACAGUUGUUGAAUUACUUGCCAGCUUGAAAAAUCAGUUGAUUACAGAAAUGUUAAACAUUUAUAAUCAACUAAGGGACAAUGAAAGCCAUCUGUUCUGUAACCUAGAACAUCCUGUCACAUUAAAUAUUAGAUGCACAAAAGCCUGGGUACAAAAUGCGUGGUGACAGUGAAGUACUAAGUGGUGUACGUAACACAGUGUAAUAGUCUGAUCAAAAACCAUCCCAAACUAGACUCAGAAGUACUAUUUGUAUUUUCUGUGAAAAUCUUAACUGAAAUGAUUCCAAAGUUAAAAUUUUUAGUUUGUGACUUAACAUUUUUAAACAUCCAAAUACAGAAAAAUCUGCAAUCUAUCUAUACAGUCAAAAGGAAAGUCUAGACAAUUAAGGUGAAGGUGCGGCAAAGGACAAUUUGAAGAUGGCAUCCGUAUCUAAUAAUAGACAACAAUCUACAAAUUUAUUUUGUAUGUUAGACAAAGAUGCAUGUUCAAGUGGAGCCAUCUCUGCCUAUUUUGAUGCAAAACAGCACACUGCAAUUUGCUGUUCAAUUUCACUGUGGGAACAAAUAACCUGACCAAGUUCAUUUGACUACUUUCAUUGUCCAUAUACCAAAUAAGUGAACACAGUGCAUUUAGUGAUACAGCAAUGGGCAUAAAGCCUGUUUUAUUAUAAAUACUCCCUCCUGUGUCACAGCAGAAAUGUUUUUAAGCUACUCUAAUUUCCAUUUUCUGGGGCUUCUACAAAAACAUGAGCCUACCCGAGUAUGGUGCUAAAAAUCAAAGCGAACCUUUUUUAAGAUAUAUGUAACACUGAUGCUGAAAACUAUUCUAUUAUCCAUUCAAAAUAUCACACAAUUGUCUUUCUAAUAUAGCUCUGUGAAGUGAAACAUUUUUCUAGAAGGCUUUCUGCAUGCUUGUGAUUAUUACGCUACCCAUGCUCAGUAUUAUUUAAGAAGAGUACAGCCUCCAUCAGCAUGACAAAUCAUUGUAGUCUAAUAUGAUGAAAAUAAAGCCCUAACUAUGGAGUAAGUAACACGUUAAUCAGCCCCUAGUAGUGGAUGCAGUUGUGUUUAUCUUACAGCAUGCAGAAUGUACGCUUCAGAAUCAUUAUGUGUAUUUAAAUAACACAAAGGCAAAUGCAAUCUCUCCACAGCGAACCUCCUGUUUUUCUUGUUCAGUUUUCUCUUUAUGAGCUCAAUUAUAGCUUCACCUUUUAUCCCUACUCAAAAAUCAAGGAAGACAGCCAAGGGAUGAGCUCAAGGCUCAACACCUUUGCAGACUGGAAGAACAUGCUAGGGCAUGCAAUUUGAAAACCUAAUUACUCUCAAUUACAAAUAUCAUAAUCUAACACUAGCCUUUUAAACCAAGGCUUUAAUUAAUUCACAUACCCUUGCCAUGCUAUCUGUCAUCCUAAAUUGUUACGAUAAGAUGUAUUUUAUGCCAUGUAAUACUUUUAGGCCAAAAACAUCAAACUGACUCAGACAGGGAAACGUACUCUCAGAACAGAGAGUCAUGAAACCAGUUCAUUUUGGCCUAGAUUCUGCAUCAUUACCAAGGGAUAGGGGAAGAGAAACUCUAGUAAAUUACGCUUGAUGUGACAGCAGAACAGGCAAGAGACAGAAGUCCUUGCUACAAAGAAAAUGCCACAACCACUCAAGGCACAAAUGAAAAUAAAUAGAUUUGGUUAUUGUUUCUUGCCUAAAUUCUGAAAAUAGGCAAGAUAAAAAGAUAGUCAUGGUGGACAGACAAAGCAUGUUCCUUCAAGUCAAUACUGCUUUAAUGUCUUAUGGUUCUCUUCUGUAUUAUGGCAUGCAUAUGUAUAAGCAUAAUUACAUUUUUCUCAGGUUAGUGACUAAUAAACUGAUCUUCCUCUAAAUUUUAAAUAUCAUGAGACAUAAAAGUCUAAGUUGAAGAAUAGAAAUAUGUAGAUUAAUGUUGCUUUUACAGUGACAGCACUGUAGGAGAUAAGUGAAGGUAUUGUACAAAAGAUUCACGAAAGUGAGCCCUUGAGUUCAGCCAAGUCCAGCCCUUUCCCUCAAAACAAGAUAUACUACGUAGUUUGUUUAAUCUAGCUGUAUAAGCCUCUAAUGUUGGAAACUGCAGCUUCUCCAGGAAUUUGUAUUAGUACUUCACAAGCUGCUGUUUAGGAAAUUACUCUUACUAUUUACACUUGUUUUAAGUUUGUUAAUUUCUGUCAUACCCAGCAAGGACAUAAAAAAAACACACUUGAUCCCACUAUGGUUAUAUAUCAUGGAUUGAAGACAAAUUUCUUCACAUUUCUCUUUUAGAAUGAAUAACUCAGUUUCCCUGCAGAUUAUAAUUGUAGAUGUUUCAUAGUUAGUUUUCCUUCAAAAGCCAGAAGAUCUUUUAAAGAUCUAGUAUCUGCCUUCAGAAUUUUGCUAAGAUGCAGAAGCGGAGAACCAAAGCUCCAAAAUGAAAGGAAGGAUUUAGACUGCCUGUGGGUAACAAGUGAAACAUGACCUGCUUUCUAAGUAAAAGCACACACCCAGAGAUAACGAACACUUACUUGGAAGCCAUUGUGGACAAAAUCGGUAUUAAAAAGCAUUGAAGUGAUAUUAGAACAACAGAAGUGCUGAGAAUAGUGGACAGAAUUGCUUGGAAAUUAAAUAAGUACUCUCUAAAACAAAACUAGGAAAAAACCCAACCUUUGAAACCAAACAAAAAUGAGCUAUCCAAGUUUAGAUUAUGCAAUCUCUUUCUGCAGAUCGUAAUAUUUUCCAUGCUAUAUUUUUUCUUUUCUGGUAUUUCCACGCAUACUGCAUUACCAUAAUGUUAUCAUAUACAGAGGAUCAAAUAGUCACGUUCCCCUCAAGAUCUGAUUUUGACCUGAUUAUAUGGUAAUAGCUUACCAAUAAC